rnacentral:lncRNA from 1 species
AGAACUUCCACUGUGCUUCCUACCUUGCUUUUGGUCUUUACCCUUGCUGCCCCGUGAAGAUUUGCCACCACCCUUGUGCUUGUUCUUCCCGUACCUCUUGCUAUCACUAAUGAUAGGCGAUGAUUCUUGUUCAAUGAAACAUGUAACAUUGCUAUUGGAACUGGAUCGUGUACAUCAAGGUCCCAUCAUUCCCAUGUCACUGGUAUUCCCUGUUUUUCAUGGCCACCUUUCAUGGCAGAUACAAGCUUCAAAGGAGUCUCUGAGAAGAUUAGAAAUCAAGGAAAAAAAUUGGAGUGAGUGGUAAUAUGAAUUUGCCCAAAACUGAACCGUCAUAUACCAUACUAGAACUUAUCAUACGUUUGAAACAUAACUAUUUGGAAUGCACUACUACUUUACCGCAACUUUUUUCCGAGGCACUGCCUCAGUUACUAAAUAGGCAAUUAAAGAAGAGAAUAAUGGGAAAACAAAGAAAUGAACUAUCGCACUGUUGAAAUACAACAAAGGUUGGACAUCAAAAAAUUCAAAAUGGAUGGGCAAAAGGUUCACUGGCCUGCAUCCUCUAGAAUUAUUGUCUCUGAUAUAAAUUGCAUACAGAUCAUCAAGAAGAUACCUUAUAUUUUCGAAAACCAAAAGAACAGAAUUAUAAGCAAAGAUAAAGCUAGAAUAUAAUAUAGAAGAAAUUAAGCCCAUGUUUGGUAGAGAUUUUUUGAGAAUAGACUUUGUGAGAAGUAAUUUCUUUUGGAGAAUUAGGGGUUAAAAACUAGGAAAAACUUACGGGUUUACUAGUAAAAUUAUUUUAUUGGAAAAAUAUGUAAUUGAAAAUGAGCUCGAGAAAUCGGGGCCAAAUAAGGAAUAUAAAAUCGCACUCACAGGUGCACAAUUGACACAUACCUCGCGGGAAAGCAACUACGUGGCAUAAAAAAUCAUCCCUACUUUCCAGUAAUUUAACAUGAUCAUAGCAGUAUUAGUACAAUUCCAGUUCCCAACCAGACAGCUAUAGGUAAAAUACUUUAACUGUCUUGAACCAAAAACAGCAUCUGUUUUUCACUAGAAUUCCCCAUUGACAUGAGAAAGAUCGUAUGUUGGUGAAAAAUAUAGACAAAAGCUAGCUAUCAAGAAGUCUAAGUAAACUUACAGGCAAAAAAAUGGACUGUGAAUAAGACUGAUCAACAGAUUUAGCAUGGCCAUUUGGCAAAGAGACUUUCAGAGUUAUAUAAUCACCAUGCUUUUCUUUCCUGUCCACUAAUUCCACGGUGGAAAAUUUAUGCUCACCAAGAGGUGGAAUUGUUGCUAAGGCAAUUUUCAGACGAUGGAAUGCUCACCUCCCUUAUAUCUGGGUCCUUAUAUUCAUCUAUGCUUGCCACAUUGCCUAUAACAUAUUUCUCAGGAGUUGGAGCGAAGCGGUGAAGCCACAACUUGAAAUUGCCACAUCCUCAGUGCUUAGAAACUCAAUCAAACAUGAUUCCAGAUAAUUGAUAGAAACAUCACUUGCACAGUAAUGAGCUGAAUCAGGUGGAUCAGUUGAUUUGCUAAUGCUGGUUAUAUUCUGCGGACCUGGUGUAUUAUGUGUUAAGACCUGGAGUUCUAUCUUAAAAGGUCAACCUUCUUAAGAGGAGUAGCCCACCUUAUAAGUUGGUAUGUUUUAUCUUUAUUUGAUAUGUAAUUAUAUCCCUUGAUGUGCCCCGCAAGAUAGUGGCUCGUUUGAGCAAACCAAUCUUGAAAUCCAAAUGCUCAUUUAUUGAGUUUUAAUCGAAUCGAAUUGCUCGUUGAAGUUUAAUUGGCUUUGAUAUUAUGUUAAGACUUGGGGUUCCAUUUUAAAAGGUCAAUCUUCUAAAGAGGAAUAGCCCAAGACCUUAUAUGUUGGUCUAUGUUUUCAUCUUUAUUUGUUGUGAGAUUAUGUUCCUUGAUAUUAUGAAGAACACAAACUUCCGUAUACAGGAACAAGAAUGGCAGAGAAGGGCUGCACCAGCAGAGAUGGAAGCAACUAAGCACUUACGAUUAUGAAAAGUAUCACUUCCAAAAUAACACAAACAAAGCUAGAAAAAAUAUGUGGAACAGUAAAUAGGAAUAUAAUACAUUCAACUGACCUCCACUCCAGCAUUGACAUACCACUAGAUAGGAGGAAUGUAUGAGCACGAGAAAUGGCCAGUUUAUGACUUGAAAAUACUCAUAAAUCCCCCACCCAAAAAAAAAAAAGGAAAUUAACUUACGUAUAAACUGGGAUUGAAGCACCGGGCACACCAUCUGAAGGAAUUUUUAUUAAAUCAUGCCCUUUCACACCUAUUUUCUUUGGUUGUGUAAAGGCUCAUAUGAUAGAAACUUAAAAUAGAUUCAUUUCUAUGUAACUUGGUUAUUUGUGUAUAUCACCUCACUCAGCUCACUGCUCCCCUAAUUUCAUUUUUGGUAAAAUGUUCCCUGCUUAUUAUGUCUUUUAAUUUGCAAGUUUAAUGUGAUAAUGAAUAAAGCCUAAUAAUUCUAAACUGACAAAACAUUCAAGAAAUGAAUGAGCACCCAUAAUUAAGAUGAUGCCGAUCAAAUACAUCACAGAGAGAUCCAGUGAACAGUUUUACAAAGCCCGUGAAGCAGAAAGCGAAGAAAUAAACAAAUAAAAAAGAAAAAUUUCCCCGCCUACGUAUCCAAAUAGAAGAUAUAACAUAAUUCUGAUAUGAAACAUUUACAAAACAUAAAUUGAUUCAAAAACAAGAACAAAUUAAAUUAAUUUGAUUAAGAAAGUACCUUGUCCUGAUCCAAGCGUAUAAACCCUUCAAGUUACAGCUGAAAAAAUCUCCUUAAACCAGAUGCAAUGAAUAGAAAGGGGAAAUCACGGCAAAGUACUAUAGCUCAAUAACCAAUCAAAAUUAGCUCACCACCAAAUUUAUCCCUCGUAUUAUUGUAAACGAUGGAAAAUCGGAAAACAUAAUAUACAAUAUACAAAGAGCAAACAACUAGAAUAUAAACCCAUGAAAUCAGACAGAAAAAUAAAAAUUUAAGCUAAUGUUAAUUAGUAAGAUUACCACGCUGAUCAUUUUUCCAAGAUGUUUCAGGCGAUGUAGAGUUUAAACUCUCAAAUAAAAUAAUUUUUAUUGAUAAAAUACAAUUUUACACUUUUUUUUUGACUCACUUUGAUUAUAUGGAGGCACUUCUUACUAACACACUACACUACCUCACUAUGUCUCUCUUUCUCUACUUAUUCUAUCUAAUCUCACUCUCUUCACACACCUUUCACCAUACACCAUCCCCUAUUUAUAGAGGUAAGUUGGUGACAAUUCUCCUACACAAAAAUUGAUGAUUCUACAUAAUCUCAUUAAUUGAUUCUAAGUCAUCUUCCUAGAUAAAUCUAGAAUGAUGAUGAGCAAUGUAUUUUCUAGAUUUUUCAAUGGUUGAGAAGGGAUAAUAAAAUGGUAAAUCUUAGAUGAAUCUAGAAAAUUCAUGCCAAAGUCGGUGAAGCAGACAUCGAAGAGGGUAGAUUUGCUAGAUUUAAAGAAAAUGGAUGACAAAUUGCAAGAGGAAAUCAUGGAAGCACAAC